GCCGCCUUUCCCUGCGCGUGCGCGCGGUUAAAUCCCUCUGCCCUCUCGACGUAGCACAGAACGCGUGCUUCCAGGGUUGAGAGGCUGAUGUGUGAAGUCCAAGGAUAGCGGGGAAAUGGCCGAACUCCUUACAAUAGCUUUCCUCACACGCUUCAACUAAGGUCCCCUAAAGUUCAUCUUCCAAUCACUAAUACUUCCACUUUUCUUCUCAAAACUUCACCAGAAAUGCUGUCUCUGUUGUCAAAAUCUUAGAUCUUUCUCUUACGUUUUUUUUUUUUUUCAGCUGCUAUUUUCUUUCAAACAGUCUUAGAAAGUAAGAGUUUGAAGCCGCUUGCAGGUCUUUGACAAAUGAGCUCGAAGUAAGGUAGAGUCUCUUGAGAGGUGGGUUUUCUAUGCUAAGCAUUUCCUCUCAGUGUUUAAUGAAUAGAGCGGCCAUUUCCUGUUUUGUGCUGUAUUACUGUAACUAGAGUUUCACCUAUCCAGUUCUGUGUUUUGGAAUUAGUUUUGCUCAAGAUGUGUAUGGAAACUUCCUAAGCCUUUUUCCACAGAUGCUUAGGUUUUGUUAUUCUGAAUGCAAUUGCACUCGUCUAGCAAUUCAGUAAUACUGGAAGAUGUUGAAGAUGGUUUCUGUUUUCCCUCACUUUGUUGUUUAUUUUUGGCUGCUUUAAAGACUGGCAGCUUUUUUGGAAAACCAUCCCAAAUAGUUUAUUGUCAUUACAACUGCUGAGUUUCAUUAGGAAUCUCUUGUUCCAUUAGCAAUUAAAUAUACUUUUUUGUUGUUUUUAAAGAAGCAUUCAACCUACUCUAAGCAUACCUCUGCCAUUUUCCUUCUUUUAUUUGGAGUGAUGCUGUGCUGAAUGGUACUGACUUACCAGGUCCAUCAUAUUCCUCCUAAGUUACCGAAAUCAGGAGUCCAUUUGAAGAGACAAAAUAACUUAAUGGCAAUUCAUUAUCCCCUGAUAUUUGAAGCAAUAAAAAAAUCUAAAAGGAGGAACAGUUUUGCAUUGUCUCAUGAGGACAAAAUAGAUAGCUUUUGAAAAAUUUCUCAACUAAUUUUCAUGCUUGCUCUCCCAAACGGUUUAGAAGCAGGGCAUUCAGCCUUCAUAAAUAGUAGAUCUCCAUGCUGCAUAAAUCUUGCAGUGAAUGAAAUCCACUGCAAGAUCCAUCCGUCCAGUUGAACUGAUGAUAACUAUAUCUUCCUAUGAUGAUAAAUAUGUUUAUGCUAGCUGUUUCAACUGGUGCCCUGAAUAGUGACUUCAAUUUGAUAUUCAUUCUACGUGGCUGGGUUUUUCUGGUCAUUUAUUGUUGCAGAUACAUUUAUUUUAACUUUUCAUUGCUUCUGGAAGAGAAGUCAUUUGCAAUGAAAAGAACGUAUUCUCUUGAUAUCUAGCUCUUUUGUCUGUAGUCAUGAAAUGUGAGAUCGUGCCAUGUGGAUUUGAUUCAAUCCUUUUGUGAUUAUUUUUUUCUCAAAAACAUUUCAGAUAUGAUGAUUUAGGUACUUCUGCAUUGUUAUUUCUCUAAACUGUGUUACCAGGGGCCCCCUAUGGCAAAGGGGCCAGCAAACAGUCCAUGCAGAAAAUGUAAGCUUGUGAACUUCAGCAUUUGUCCCACUCCCCUCACUCGGUCUCUUGACCAAAAGUUCUUGUAGAAAGAACCACAGAAUGUGUCUUCUUCCUGAAAGCAGAUCAAAUGAUCAUCUGUCAAAAACUUUCCUUUAGAGUUCCACAAUUUCUCAUAGAGCUCUGAUCAGGAUUUUUAGACUCAACAUCUGAAUCCAGCAAAGUUCAUUCCUAAGAGUUCGCAGGCAGUUUUCAGUAGCCAGGGAGCUGCGAAGAUUUUUUUUUUUCUCAAUGUAAAAUUAAAAAUCUGGAUUUGAAUAAACAGUAUAUGUAAAUUUCCAUUGUUGCAAAUUGCAAGCCAGGUUCCAAGGGCAAGAAAUUGAAUUUACCUUUUAGUUUUAAUUUAGCUGUUGAUAAAACCUUUCAGUCUAGGAGGGAAUGGAGAAAGGAAUAGUGCAAGCAGGAAACACCUCUGCCUAUAUUAAUACCUUUGGCUUCACUGGGUGGACAUUAAAGGGAGGGUCGCACUAUCUAUACUGAGCUCUGCCAUAUAUCCCUGCAUGACCCAGUGCAGCUCACUUAACCUGUGAGACAUGGUUUGUCUCAUCUGCUUUUUGUGUGUACUCUUUGUGGCAGGGACAGUUACACAGUAUGUGCAUGUAGCAAAGAGGAGGAAGAUCUUAAUUCUGCUUGGUGCCUUUAUUUUGGGUAGAGGUAACCAGGAUUAAAAUUAAAUGUGGUCUUUCAGAUAAGUGUUUUUUUUUUUUUAAGAAAGUGGAGCUCAUUGCAAGCUCAUGAUAGCAAAACAAAUUCAAGAGAGCCAAGGGAGAAUCUGAGUGAAUAUAUGGGAGGAGCUGUGGGGGACAGGAUCCCUUUAUUUUGGAGGGGAGAGCUGAUUAGAACUGUUUCCUGACUAGAUUCAAUAUUUUCUACCUUAAUUACCAAAGAAAAGAAACGGAGGCACAAAACAGAUUUAAUUAAGAUAGCACUUUUUUUUUUUUUCCUUUUUUCCUUAACUUUCCGUGUUGAUGUCUACCCAUGGAUAAUGGGUACAUGGUCACUACCCACUUGAAUUCUGACAACAGUAAUGCUUUUCACCACAAAGUUCUUAGCUUCUCUAGAAAAUACUUGACAGCUUCCUCCUGCAGGGUCCCCAUGAACAGGAAAAGUCAAAUAAGUAUGAGCUAUGCUGGCAGCUCAUGACGUUAUAGGACCACAAAAGAUCUGUGAGCAAACUAUGCAAGGCUGGCUUACAGGGCCAGACUUCCUUUGCUCUCUGUGUUGCUACCAGCUCAGUCACAGAGCCUCAGUCACAGUCCCAGGAUCUGAACCUCAGGAUGUUGUGUCACAGUAAGUUGGCCCUUGUCACUAGCUGGCUUGGACAAAAUGUGGGACAGAAACCAACAGUCUUUUUGCAGCCUUUUCUUCAGAACUGAUGCUAAUAACAAAACAGAAAUCGUUAUUCAGGGCUCACUAGGUCCACGUACCUCUCUUUAUUCCAUCCUCACGCAGCUGUCAUUUUAGAUGACUUGAUGGUGUUGGUCAGAUUUGCACGUCUGUGCUGCCCUUUGCAUUUUACAAUGCGACAGCACCCUCUUCUGGCUGUUUCCUGUUGGUCGAAACAGCCGAUCAGGCAGCAAAAUCAAUGUCAGGCAGCAGCACCAGCUCUUUGUCACAGGAUCCUCAGCGCUUUGCAAAGGAAGGAAUAAAAGCGAGGGCAGGAGAAGUUAGCAGGCUUGGCAAAAGGGAGAAAAAAAGGGUAUCUGAUGUGCAAUACUGCCGUCUUGAUGUACCUGCAAUAAGUAUUAAUACUGUAAAAACGACUGGGAAAGCUGCCUCACUUCAGGUUCCUUAUGUUCUUUGGACCUGAUUUCUGUCUACUCCAUUUGUGUGGGUGGCACACUUCCACUUUGAUUCAAGAACACUUUCUACUAAGCUCCAAGCAUUUUGUCUGCUGCACGUGGCUUCCGACUGUGUUCCCUCCUCUAUCUGCAAGUCUCCCUACCUUCUCCUUUCAAAUACUGAGAUAAGCUGCCUCAUGGAAAGCUGCUUCUCUACCCAGUCCUCGCUGCAGUAAUGGACAUCUGUUGUCUUAUGCACCUCAGCUUUCAUCUUUUGUGGAAGCUCUGCAUGGCCGAGAGCAGCUGGGGAAACAGACUACUGAGCAGUCUGCACCAAGCCCAAUAUCAUGCCAUAGCAAGCUGUAGGCCAGCUCCUCCCCACCAGGGGACCCCAAUGCCCUCCAGGCAAGGCAGUUCCUGGCACUCUGCGAAGCAUGGUCAGGUACCACUUCCCUUAAGAAGAGACUGGUUGGUGGAACUGAGAGAACCCCAAACAUUAAGUGAAUUCUUCACAGUGCAGAUGAAUUACUGCUCACAGAUGCUGAAUGCCUCCCCAGCUCCUCAGAGCUUCCAUGGAGACUCCCGCAACACUGGUUGCCCUGCAUGGCUGCCUCUAGCUCCAGGACCAACCUUGAAGCAGGGCUAGCAGUGAGGGCUAAGUUAUACUGUCCUCUGCUGUGGAUGUCACUGACUCCAUCUGGCUUAGAUUUGCAGGAUUUUGCCUCACUGUUGUAGUGGCGUGAGUGAAACAGAAUCACAGAAUCGAAGGGGUUGGAAGGGACCUCGAAAGAUCAUCGGGUCCAACCCCCCUGCCAAAGCAGGUUCCUUAGAGCAGGCUGCCCAGGUAGGCAUCCAGACGGGCCUUGAAUAUCUCCAGAGAAGGAGACUUCACAACCUCCCUGGGCAGCCUGUUCCAGUGCUCCGUCACCCUCACUGUGAAGAAGUUCUUUUGCAUGUUGGUGCGGAACUUCCUGUGCUUUAUCUUGUGGCCAUUAGCCCUUGUCCUAUCCCCACAAACCACUGAAAAGAGGUUGGCCAAAUCCCUCUGUCUCCCACACCUCAGGUACUUAUACACAAUGAUGAGAUCAAACGGGGAAGGUGGAGUCAUUGCUCACUUUUGACAGGAACUGCUGUGGCUGAAGAUAAGACCAGCAAAAAAUAAGGCAGAUGAAAACUGAAAUGAAGUGGGUAUGGCUGGAAGCUGCCUCCACCUGCAGACAAGAAAGCUGUUGUCUGUGGGGGAAGAAGGAUCCCUCUUAGCCGUCCUCAGCAGACUGGGUCACCGGCAUGCAUGGCAUGAUCUGUGUAUGUCACUAAAAGUGCUGUAUGGUUACAUACUGGGUAUGUGCGAGACACUAGUUAGCUAUGAAUUCUAAUGUUAUAAGAGUUAUAAGAUGCCAGUGCAUUCUCUUGGGUGGAUGACAGCCAAGCAACUGUAUCUACAAAGGAGGAAGCCGGCAGAGAGACCAAGAAAGAAGCUUCUUCAACGUCCACCAUCUCCCACUGUACCUAUCCAUCCAUGCUUCUGGCUCCCUACUCCCCUCUCCCUUUUUCUUCCUCUAUCACUGCUAUCUGCAUCUGUCUCAUCUUCCCCUGCAAAUCUCUCUGUCCUGCUGCCUGACCCAUUGUUUCUUGCUAUACCCACCUGUCUAGAUGGCGCUUCUCUUUUUCUCUCCUUACGCCUCUGUCCUGCUCCCUGGCCUUAUUUUUCUUUCCUCCAGCCCUGCUCUACAGUCCAUGGUAGCAGAAAGCAACAGGUCAGCAUGGGACAGAUGAGUGCUCAUCCAAUGCUGAUUUCUGAGGUGAAAUGGGGGGAAAUGGGUGCAUAGGGGCCAUCAGCCAUGCAGCAGCCUCCCUCCAGGCACUGAUGUGCAUGAAUAAACAGCUGCUUUGUUUAUUGCACUCCUGACUGUGUUCGCAGUCCCUUUGCACAGAGUAAGUGGCUGUCACUAUGGUCAGGGAAGCAGGUUAAAUAGUGCAUGUGUGGGUGUGGGAAUGUAUCAGGUGGUGGCCCAGCGUUCCUGAAGGGUGGCAGCUGUUGGAUGAGUCUGGAGGAGCCCCUGAUGGAGGCAGAAGGGGAUGGCCCCGCUGUGUAAAGGGGCUUUGGAGCUGUUCUCUGACAAAGGAGUAGUUUCCAGCUCUUGUGGACAGAGUCAGGGAGAAGGUGAGUGCAGUUGUGAAACAUGGGAUUAGAAAUUAGAGAGUGAUUGAUUAAGAAUGAAUAUGUAGGCAACACUCAUUGCUUAAUAUGUGCUACAUUUGCGAUGUACUGUGCCUGUGCUGUGCUUAGGCCUCCAGGUAACAGGAGCCCCUGAGACCCCAAGAACCAGAUCAAACCAACCUUAUGGUUCGGACUGUGACCAGGGGCUCAGAGAUAAGGAGGACUGUUCAUAAAAGGACAAGAUAAAGAAUGUCAAAUAUGCAAGGCCUCAAGAUAACAGGAGCCCCUCGGACCCUGAGAACUGGACCAAACCAACCUUAUGGCCCAGAUUGUGACCAAGGGCUCAGAGAGCAUGCACAAGGAGACAAGGUGACAAGUUCAACUCUGAUGAAGACAUCUUACUUCAUCCUUAUUGACCCUCAGUGCCCACCACCAGAAGGCACUGCGUAAGCGCAGAUGGGAGGAGUUUAUGGAAAUGACUUCUUGGAGCUAAUUUUAAUACUAAGCGGGGACAGGUCAUGCAUAUGUAUAGGCGUACUGGGAAACUUCAUGCAUAUGUAACUCUUUACUAUAUAUAACCAAAGCAAGUUGCCACGUUAGGGUGCGCACAACUUUGGUGGGACUACCCCCUGUGCUGCCCAGCGCUGAAUAAACAUACCUACUUUACAAUCUUACUGAUUGUGGAGUCAGCUUUCCGCGAGUCAAACCAAAGCAAGUUGCCACGUUAAGGGCGCACGACUUUGGAGGGACUACCCCCCGUGCUGCCCAGCACUGAAUAAACAUACCUACUUUACAAUG